rnacentral:lncRNA from 1 species
UCUGUUUUCUGUGCCAGGAGGUCUCUACACGGUGCAGACAACUGCCUCUAAGACUUUAACCCCAAUGCACAGUCCAGGGAAAGAAGAGUAAGGUAAACGGACACAGCUUGACUUUAGUCUGCCACGCGCCCAGCCACAGCCCAGAGACCCGUGAGCUCCCAUCCGGGGUCUCCUAGAGCCCCAACUGUGAUGCCCAAGUCAGUCUCCAACUCUGGAACUUUCUUCAUGUCCUGUGCCCACUCUCGUCAAACUCAGCCAGUCCUUGUCUUGCCCCUGGGUGACCAGCUCUAAGGGGUUGACGGGCCCUGCCUGGGGGCUUGAGCGGGGCUUGUACCCAGCUGAGACAAGGCCUUGCCACGCUGUGUCUGCUGGAGGGGCCGUUUAUAAUUCCUGCAGCAGCAAAGCCUCGGUGACAGGAAGAUCCAGCUGUCGGAUCCUUCGCCGUCCACUGAGCCUCAGAUGCAGGACCUGGAGCGAGGACUCUGUCUGCAGCCAUGCUGGAC